rnacentral:rRNA from 1 species
UGGGGAAUAUUGGACAAUGGGCGCAAGCCUGAUCCAGCCAUGCCGCGUGAGUGAUGAAGGCCCUAGGGUUGUAAAGCUCUUUCACCGGUGAAGAUAAUGACGGUAACCGGAGAAGAAGCCCCGGCUAACUUCGUGCCAGCAGCCGCGGUAAUACGAAGGGGGCUAGCGUUGUUCGGAUUUACUGGGCGUAAAGCGCACGUAGGCGGGCUAAUAAGUCAGGGGUGAAAUCCCGGGGCUCAACCCCGGAACUGCCUUUGAUACUGUUAGUCUUGAGUAUGGUAGAGGUGAGUGGAAUUCCGAGUGUAGAGGUGAAAUUCGUAGAUAUUCGGAGGAACACCAGUGGCGAAGGCGGCUCACUGGACCAUUACUGACGCUGAGGUGCGAAAGCGUGGGGAGCAAACA